AGACGUCUACAUUAGAUACCCCCGUAGUCCCAGCCGUAAACUAUGCGCGUUAGGUGUAUCGGUGACCACGAGUUACCGAGGUGCCGAAGGGAAACCGUGAAACGUGCCGCCUGGGAAGUACGGUCGCAAGGCUGAAACUUAAAGGAAUUGGCGGGGGAGCACCACAACAGGUGGAGCCUGCGGUUUAAUUGGACUCAACGCCGGGAAGCUCACCGGAUAGGACAGCAGAAUGAUUGCCGGGCUGAAGACCCUGCAUGACUAGCUG
rnacentral:rRNA from 1 species